rnacentral:rRNA from 1 species
AGAAUCAACGCUGGCGGCGUGCCUAACACAUGCAAGUCGAACGAGAAAGUGGAGCAAUCCAUGAGUAAAGUGGCGACCGGGUGAGUAACACGUGACUAACCUACCUUUCAGUGGGGAAUAACCUCGGGAAACCGGGCUAAUACCCCAUAAUGUCUUCGGACCAAAGGAGCAAUUCGCUGAAAGAGGGGGUCGCGGCGAUUAGCUAGUUGGCGGGUAACGCCCACAAGGCAAUGAUCGGUAG